UGGGGGGGAUGGUGUCUCAGUAUAGCAACUUGUACUGUGAAACUGCGAAUGGCUCAUUAAAUCAGUUAUCGUUUAUUUGAUAGUACCUUACUACAUGGAUACCUGUGGUAAUUCUAGAGCUAAUACAUGCUAAAAACCCCGACUUCAGGAAGGGGUGUAUUUAUUAGAUAAAAAACCAACGCCCUUCGGGGCUCCUUGGUGAAUCAUAAUAACUUAACGAAUCGCAUGGCCUUGCGCCGGCGAUGGUUCAUUCAAAUUUCUGCCCUAUCAACUUUCGAUGGUAGGAUAGUGGCCUACCAUGGUGGCAACGGGUAACGGGGAAUUAGGGUUCGAUUCCGGAGAGGGAGCCUGAGAAACGGCUACCACAUCCAAGGAAGGCAGCAGGCGCGCAAAUUACCCAAUCCCGAUACGGGGAGGUAGUGACAAUAAAUACCGAAACAGGGCUCUUUUGGGUCUCGAAAUUGGAAUGACAACAAUUUAAAUCCCUUAACAAAGAACUAUUGCAGGGCAAGUCUGGUGUCCCGGACCUGGUGAUUUCCCCUCCGAUAACGUAUAUUAAAGCUGUUGCA
rnacentral:rRNA from 1 species